UACGUAGGGGGCAAGCGUUGUCCGGAAUUAUUGGGCGUAAAGAGCUCGUAGGCGGUCUGUCGCGUCGAUCGUGAAAACUUGGGGCUUAACCCUGAGCUUGCGGUCGAUACGGGCAUGACUGGAGUUCGGCAGGGGAGACUGGAAUUCCUGGUGUAGCGGUGAAAUGCGCAGAUAUCGGGAAGAACACCCGUGGCGAAGGCGGCUCUCUGGGACGGUACUGACGCUGAGACGCGAAAGCGUGGGGAGCGAAUGGG
rnacentral:rRNA from 1 species